UACGUAGGGGGCAAGCGUUGUCCGGAUUUAUUGGGCGUAAAGAGCGUGUAGGCGGCUAGAUAGGUCCGUUGUGAAAACUCGAGGCUCAACCUCGAGACGUCGAUGGAAACCAUCUAGCUAGAGUCCGGAAGAGGAGAAUGGAAUUCCUGGUGUAGCGGUGAAAUGCGCAGAUAUCAGGAAGAACACCCGUGGCGAAGGCGGCUCUCUGGGACGGUACUGACGCUGAGACGCGAAAGCGUGGGGAGCGAACAGG
rnacentral:rRNA from 1 species